CACUUCGGUGUUUGAGACCGGCGCACGGGUGCGUAACGCGUAUGCAAUCUACCUUGUACAGGGGAAUAGCCCAGAGAAAUUUGGAUUAAUGCCCCAUAGUAUAUAACCUUCGCAUGUUGGUUAUAUUAAAGUUCCAACGGUACAAGAUGAGCAUGCGUCCCAUUAGUUAGUUGGUAAGGUAACGGCUUACCAAGACGAUGAUGGGUAGGGGUCCUGAGAGGGAGAUCCCCCACACUGGUACUGAGACACGGACCAGACUCCUACGGGAGGCAGCAGUGAGGAAUAUUGGUCAAUGGUCGCAAGACUGAACCAGCCAUGCCGCGUGCAGGAAGACGGUCCUAUGGAUUGUAAACUGCUUUUAUACAGGAAGAAACCCUCCCACGUGUGGGAGCUUGACGGUACUGUAGGAAUAAGGAUCGGCUAACUCCGUGCCAGCAGCCGCGGUAAUACGGAGGAUCCAAGCGUUAUCCGGAAUCAUUGGGCUUUAAAAGGGUCCGUAGGCGGUCGUUAUAAGUCAGUGGUGAAAGCCCAUCGCUCAACGAUGGCAACUGCCAUUGAUACUGUAAGACUUGAAUGCUUAGGAAGUAACUAGAAUAUGUAGUGUAGCGGUGAAAUGCUUAGAUAUUACAUGGAAUACCAAUUGCGAAGGCAGGUUACUACUAAGUGAUUGACGCUGAUGGACGAAAGCGUGGGGAGCGAACAGGGAUUAGAUACCCUGGUAGUCCACGCCGUAAACGAUGGAUACUAGCUGUUCGGCGCAAUUUGAGUGGCUAAGCGAAAGUGAUAAGUAUCCCACCUGGGGGAGUACGCACGCAAGUGUGAAACUCAAAGGAAUUUGACGGGGGCCCCGCACAAGCGGUGGAGCAUGUGGGUUUAAUUCGAUGAUACGCGAGGAACCUUACCAGGGCUUAAAUGUAGAUUGACAGGUCUGGAAACAGACUUUUCUUCGGACAAUUUACAAGGUGCUGCAUGGUUGUCGUCAGCUCGUGCCGUGAGGUGUCAGGUUAAGUCCUAUAACGAGCGCAACCCCUGUCGUUAGUUGCCAGCGAGUCAUGUCGGGAACUCUAACGAGACUGCCAGUGUAAACUGUGAGGAAGGUGGGGAUGACGUCAAAUCAUCACGGCCCUUACGUCCUGGGCCACACACGUGCUACAAUGGUAGGUACAGAGAGCAGCCACUGCGCGAGCAGGAGCGAAUCUACAAAACCUAUCUCAGUUCGGAUCGGAGUCUGCAACUCGACUCCGUGAAGCUGGAAUCGCUAGUAAUCGGAUAUCAGCCAUGAUCCGGUGAAUACGUUCCCGGGCCUUGUACACACCGCCCGUCAAGCCAUGGAAGCUGGGGGU
rnacentral:rRNA from 1 species